rnacentral:sRNA from 1 species
UAGGGAGGACCAUUAGUUGGUGCUAUUUC